rnacentral:RNase_P_RNA from 2 species
ACGGCUUUGAGGUGGUUCGCGCCGGCUGUAAACCAGUCGGUGAGGAAAGUCCGGACUCCACAGGGCAGGAAGCUGCCGAAAAGGCAGGUGGGGGUAACCUCACAGAUAGGGCCACAGAAAAUAGACCGCCAAUCCGCACACCUUUUGGGUGUGGUCAUGGAGGCAAGGGUGAAAAAGUGGGGUAAGAGCCCACUACCUACGGUGGUGACAUCGUAGGUUGGCAACCCUCUUCCGGAGCAAUCCCAAGUAGGAAGGCGUUAUCAGGUUUGCCCGACCGAUGCCUUCGGGUAGGGAGCUAAGAUAAAUGACCACUAAAACAGAAUCCGGCUUACUCCAAAGCCGUAGCC